UCCUUGCAAUCAGAAUGGCCAAAAGAAGGGUUGGUUGAAGCCUGAUUCAGAUGUAUUCAGAUCAGGUGCGGGAAGACUUCGGCCAUGGAACUUAGUAUAGCCAAGGGUGAAAUGUACUUACGACGGAUCGAUGAUCCUCUUCGGCUAGUCCCAAUCCAUGCAGCCUCGAUUGGACAUACUGGAGUAGGGGAGAACCUUGAGAGCACAAAAUAAGGAGUCGGAGAAUGGAUGUGUGCGGUAAGGUGUAGAUAGGGGGCCCAC
rnacentral:lncRNA from 1 species